UUUCUCAAUGCUGCCUGCUUUAUAUUCAGAUUAUGUUGAUUUUCCUCCAAAUGACAAAUCUGAAUUACAGAUAAUUUAGUAAUUGGUGUUUAAUACUUACAAAUACGUAAAGCAACAAACUGGAAUAAAACCAAGGGAUGCUUUGUGGAAGUACUUGAGAAUGGAUGUUGAUGUCUUUUCAAAGAUAACUCCGCUAAAUGGUAGUACCUGUAGUCUGUGAUGCAGACGUGGCUGAUAACUUAACAAAUGUCUUCGUGUCUGCGGCUCAGCUGUGCUGUUGUCCCAGGUGCCCCACCUUGGCUGGCAUAUCUCCCAGGCCAGCACUCUUGUGACUCUGCCCCCUACAUGCUGGGGAGUCUCUAUCUCUCUCUGGGACAGCCAACCACCUGUCAGACAACAUCAUCUGUCAAUCUCCUAAUCUUCAAACUCUACAUGUCAAAACAGAAGUCGUUUUCCCACUAAACCUAAACCAGCACCUUCUGAAUUCCUUUUAUGAGAUGAUG
rnacentral:lncRNA from 1 species